GAAAGCAAGAAGACUGAUACCAAACUACUCCAGCUCAGAGCAUUGCUGCAGUUCACAGAAUCAAGAACAUUUCCACUCUGUUCAUUUUCCUGUGGUGUAGGUGCAAGAAAUGGCUUAAGAUGGAGGGGAGCAUCUGCAAGAUACACAAGAAGCAAAAAAAGGCUGGUGCUGACAAGUUCACCCAAGACAAUCAAGGAUAAGUUAUUGCAAUAACAACAUAGCCCUAAAUGUGGGGCAGGGCAGAAUUACAUCACCUAAGGAGGAGCAUCUGCAAGAUUUUUUCUUCUCAAAGCACAGAUCCUAAAGUCAUUUCUCCCUGAGGAGGAAGGUAGCUUUCCUUGUGACUUAAUGGCCCAGCAUCCCUGGUGUAUCUUGGUGGCUGAAGCUGAGGUGAAAAGACUAUUACCAUAGGAAAGUACUUCAGCUAUCUGAAGCAAGCAGAACUCUGCUGGAGAUGGAUUUGGCCAAAAUAAAGAUUUGGGUCUGAGUUUCAAACAUGGAAAUGAAUUUAAAUGUCCACUGACAAAAUUCUGACAGGACCUGGGACAAACAGAAAAACUGAAAGCAGUGAAGAAAGUUCAGGGACACCCAAGUAAUGACUCUCUCCACCUCUGUGUGUGCCUGCACAUAUAAGUGUCUAUGUUUGCAUGUGAAAACAACUAUGAAGCUAUAGUCUUGGACAGGGCUUCUGACUGCAUAAUGGUUUAAUCUUAAUGUGGCCUAACUAAUUAAAAACAUUUGGAGCAGUGACAUAGCUGUGACAUUCUUUCUUUUGAGUAAGUAAAGAUUAAUGAAAGACUAAUAAUCUUCCUAAGCGAUAUGUGUAACAGAAGACUUUAUUGUCUGUUUCAUGGGUGUUUUCUUUUUCUUUUUUUUUUUUUUUUUUCAUUGCAUGCAACACAUUUUUUAAAACACCUACUAGAAAUGUUGAUAUUGCAAAUUACGGCCCAGAUUGGUGUAUUUGGAAAAACUUGCUUAAAAUCUUUUAAAAAUAUGGUAAAAAGGUGAACUUAAACUCCUAUGUGGGCACUUGAUCUGAGAAUUAAAAAGUCCUCCAUUGAGUUUAACUUAAGUCACUUCCUAAAUUGAUUUGUACUAAGGUUACCAGGUCACUGUAAGGAUAUCCAUAAAGGGAGUUAAAGCAGAUCAUCAAUUCUAUACAGAAAACCAGUUCAGAAUAUAUUCAACUGUAGACAUACUCCUAGCAGGUCUGACUCUUUACCUACGUAUGUUCUGAAAAUCAAGUAAAAUAAGGAUUAAUAUUGAAGUUUUAAUCCAGAUGAUAAAUUUUGGAUGUUUAUGAAAGAUUUUUUUCCAUGUAUCUUCUAAAUGCUGGGCUUGUCUACUCCAUGUUCUGCAGGUGAGAGAAGGCAGAGUUAGUUUCACAGUGCUCUGGAAUUAAUCCAGGGUGUAAAUGCUACUUAACUCAUUAGCAGGUUUUGUUGUUGUUGCUGCUGUUUGCCUAUAUGAACAGUCAACAAGCCCUUUACAGGCCGUGUUCCCUCUUGUGUAGUUUAGCACAAGAUACUAGGGCUUGCUGACUUCCCCUGGGGCCUAUUCUUCCCGAUCUCUGCUAUCAGAUCAGAUUUAUGACAUGGAUAAAGAGCAUUUUGGAACAACUUAAAGUUUAUUGUUUAUUAACCAUUAAAUCUUCAAAAAUGAUUUCUAGAAGCCUAGAACAUAAGCUUGAGAUUGCCCAAGGCCUUUGUUUCCUGUGGAAGAAAGGCCUUCUGGUUCACUGUGCUGAAGAGCAAAGAUUUUUUAUGGCACUGCCAGGAUUUUUCCAGUUGAAACACAUACCUGAAAGUAUGACAAACAGAUAAAAUAUUUUUCUUAGAAAUGCUAAUCCAAAAAUAAAAGAAAUCAAAAGAUAUAGUGGAAUAUUUUCUGCUUUGAUUUCUGCAGUCCUUGGAGGCUGUGCAUCAGACUCAGUGAAGGCAAGGUUGAUGGAUGUACCAGAGUUAAAACACAUUUUUUUAUUUGUUUUUGUUUUAUACUUACUUCAAAAAGGCACAAUGGCCAUUAUAUCAUAGUGAGGGAGUGGGCGUUUGGACUUUGUAGAAGAUUAUCCUGGAAGAGUUUUCCUGAAAGAAAAAGAGCUACUUGUCUGCAAAGAAGACAAACUCCCUGUCAAAAACAUCAAAACUUUCUGGACAUCAUCUUCAGUUGUCUACAAGCACAAGGGAAACAGCGACUGAUCCAGGCUUUUGUGUGGCAAAGGUCUCUGUCCAGGAAGAAGAAAUGAUUGGGGAAAACAUGUGGAGCACUCCAUCUUCCAAGAGCUUGGCAUGGGACAGGGUGUAAAACAACAAAACAACAGAACAACAGGGUGUAAAACCUUGGAGAGGUUUGCUGUGAAAAUAAGAAUAAAGUGUCCAGGUAUGGGGAGCACCUGAUUUUUUGCUUCCAGAGCUCAGAACACUGGAAGUGCCUGUGGCUAAUCACAAGGGGAGUUCAGACCAGCAAAAACUGAUGACACUAGAAGCAGAAAAUGAUAUAUGUCCAUGUAUGGAAAUUCCAUGAAGUUUCCUUGAAAUAAUUUUACUGCCUUUGCAGAGUGUGUAAUGCACUUACUAAUCACAGAAAGGAUUAUUAACUGCUUCUACAGCAAAGUCCAAAAGAUAGAUAAUUCCAGUGACUCUAGAUAAGAUGAGGUAUUUACCUGAUUGAGAAACAAGUGGAAAUUAAAAGAAGAACAGAACCUAAUAGGACUAGUAAGUUGAGGGCAGAUCAGUUGCUAGCUAAGGGAUAUAAAGCCUCCCGUGGUCCUGGAACUAGAACAUUGUUUCCUUGUUUCUUAUUUUAUUUUAUUACUUUUUUUUUUUUUUUUAACCAUUUACUUGAGGCAGUAAACUGACUGGAUCCCAAGGAGGAUGUAGUUGAAUUGACACUGAACACAGGGGAAGCACUGUUGAGCCCUGGCACCCAGAUAGUAUUCACCCAGACUCUCUGGGAUUUAACAGCUGUUUUCCAACACAAGCUGUUCCAAACAAAGCAGUCUGGCUGAAUACACCAUCACUUCUAGAUCAGAAUGUUCCUAUCUAAAUCUUACCUCAGAGCCUGAUCAUAUGAACAGUAUUGUUUCUGUGCAUCUUAUGAAGGCUUACCCUUAUCUAAUUCCUGAUGAAUUCACAAAAGCAGUUAGGAAAUUAUCUACUAAAAUCUCCUCUCAAGAAAAGAGUGAAAUAUGGGUCUAUUUGCAGAAUACUAUGUUUUGUUUCCAUCUUUGUUUCUUGUAGUGUGUUAUCUAAUUGUAGAAGUUCUCAAUUCUCAAAUGGAAGUCUAUGUUUUGCUUGAAUUCUGCUAAGUACAUUAUUUCAGAUAUAACUUGUCAUACUGAGAAAAAGAGAUUAGCUGUGAAUAAAUUAGAUGAGCUGUGAACUGAAGAACCAAUUGCUGCCUUUCAGCAGUCUUAAAUCAUUAUCUUUCAAUUUAAUUUUUCUUUUCUGGUGAAAGAAAUGAAACUGUGUUGACUUUGUUUUUGGUAUUCAUUGCUUGAUCUAAUCUCCAGAUUUCACAUUGUUAUAUAUAAUGUUAGAUCCAGAAAUUUGGAUAUUUCAUUACUUGUGUGACAAAGACUUUGCUUAUUUUAUAUGUUAAAAAAGUAAAAAAACAAAAAAACAAACUAAAAAAAAUUGUAUGAGAACUGAAAGGAAGAUGCAUAAAGCUGUGUUAUGGCCACUGCAUAAGUAUGUCCUGAAACAAUACUUUCCUUCCAAGUUCUUGUGAUGAAUUCAAAUACAAGAACUGAUGUUUAUGAAAAGCUUUCAGGACUGGAAGUUUCACCUUGCAGAAUGAAUAACAGGUAACCACCAUAAUCUCUAUAGCUUUCAGAAAUUGAUGCAUGUGAGAAAAAUUGCUGAUUCCCUUGUUAAAUUUUAAUAAUAAUUAAAAACAAACUAACAAAAAACAUAAAAACUAAGGAGCUAGUUAAUCUAACUCCCAUCUGAAAGGCAAUAUUAAUUCUCACUACUGAACAUGGAUGUUUACUGUGAUUCAUGUGAUGACUACCGUAUAGUAACAUUUCAUCAUGUAAUUACUACACAUUUCUCAAAAAAAUUACUCCUGAACUUUCACUCAUUUUCAUUGACAACUGAAAUGUUUUCUUUUAUGUUAUUAGAAAUAAAAUUUUCCACCUCUCUUGAAAA